GACGAACGCUGGCGGCGUGCCUAAUACAUGCAAGUUGAGCGAUGAAGCUUGGUGCUUGCACCAAUUUGAAGAGCAGCGAACGGGUGAGUAACGCGUGGGGAAUCUGCCCUUGAGCGGGGGACAACAUUUGGAAACGAAUGCUAAUACCGCAUAACAACUUUAAACAUAAGUUUUAAGUUUGAAAGAUGCAAUUGCAUCACUCAAAGAUGAUCCCGCGUUGUAUUAGCUAGUUGGUGAGGUAAAGGCUCACCAAGGCGAUGAUACAUAGCCGACCUGAGAGGGUGAUCGGCCACAUUGGGACUGAGACACGGCCCAAACUCCUACGGGAGGCAGCAGUAGGGAAUCUUCGGCAAUGGACGAAAGUCUGACCGAGCAACGCCGCGUGAGUGAAGAAGGUUUUCGGAUCGUAAAACUCUGUUGGUAGAGAAGAACGUUGGUGAGAGUGGAAAGCUCAUCAAGUGACGGUAACUACCCAGAAAGGGACGGCUAACUACGUG
rnacentral:rRNA from 1 species